UGGCACUUUUGAGCUCCUCAUGCGGAAUUGUGAAACAGAGGGCCAAAUUUCAACUAUCAAGACUUGUCAGUUCUCUGCUACUGAACUCAUUGUUUGUUCAGCUGAUGGCAGGAUAACUGUGGUGGCUGACUUGUCUCUGGCCAUCACAAGUGAAGGAGUUCCUUCUAGAAUCCACCUGGUAGA